GUCAAAGUUCCGGAUAUGAUGUCAUUCGGUGAAUUUGUGGUACAAAAAAACAAAGAAAAACUAAUUUUGCAAUUUACCUAAUGACAUCAUAUCCGGAAACUUUGAC